rnacentral:rRNA from 1 species
CCUACGGGUGGCUGCAGUCGAGAAUCAUUCACAAUGGGGGAAACCCUGAUGGUGCGACGCCGCGUGGGGGAAUGAAGGUCUUCGGAUUGUAAACUCCUGUCAUGUGGGAGCAAAUUAAAAAGAUAGUACCACAAGAGGAAGAGACUGCUAACUCUGUGCCAGCCGCCGCGGUAAUACAGAGGGCGCAAGCGUUGUUCGGUAUCACUGGGCGUAAAGCGUGCGUAGGCGGUUUCGUAAGUCGUGAGUGAAAGACGAGGGCUCAACCCGCGGACGGCACAUGAUACUGCGAUACUAGAGUAAUGGAGAGGGAAGCGGAAUUCUCGGUGUAGCAGUGAAAUGCGUAGAUAUCGAGAGGAACACUCGUGGCGAAGGCGGGUUCCUGGACAUUAACUGACGCUGAGGCACGAAGGCCAGGGUAGCGAAAGGGAUUAGAUACCCCUGUAGUC